CACGUAGGGUGCGAGCGUUGUCCGGAUUUAUUGGGCGUAAAGAGCGUGUAGGCGGCCAGGUAGGUCUGCUGUGAAAACUCGAGGCUCAACCUCGAGACGUCGGCGGAAACCAUCUGGCUAGAGUCCGGAAGAGGAGGGUGGAAUUCCUGGUGUAGCGGUGAAAUGCGCAGAUAUCAGGAAGAACACCCGUGGCGAAGGCGGCUCUCUGGGACGGUACUGACGCUGAGACGCGAAAGCGUGGGGAGCGAACAGG
rnacentral:rRNA from 1 species